GACGAACGCUGGCGGCGCGCUUAACACAUGCAAGUCGAGCGAUGAAACUUUAACAGAACCCUUCGGGGCGAAGAUAAAGUGGAUUAGCGGGGGAGGGGGGAUAACAACUGAGUAAACUGCCUUAGAACAUGGGAUAGGCUCGGGAAAACCGGGAUUAUUCCAAAAUAAAUCAUUAUGACCCAUGUCAAAAACAUCAAAACUCCGGUGGGCUAAGAUGGACUCGCGUCCCAUUAGCUAGUUGGUAGAGUAAAAGCCUACCAAGGCGACGAUGGGUAGCCGGCCUGAGAGGGUGAACGGCCACAUUGGAACUGAGAAACGGUCCAAACUCCUACGGGAGGCAGCAGUGGGGAAUAUUGCACAAUGGAGGGAACUCUGAUGCAGCGACGCCGCGUGAACGAAGAAGGCUUUCGAGUCGUAAAGUUCUUUUAUAUGGGAAGAUAAUGACGGUACCAUAAGAAAAAGCCCCGGCUAACUACGUG
rnacentral:rRNA from 1 species